GGGAAGAACACCAUGGGAGAUUCGUCCAGGAUCUAAUUCCGUCCUUAUCACUAAUGAUGCCUCUCUUUUCACAAGCUCAGUGCCUGUUCUUCAACAUGAGAAGCUGAAAGUAAGUGACGGCGACCAUGGUCAUCAAUCCGUUGAUGAUGCAUCACCAAGCUUGACAAUUCACCCGGAUGUAGAGGUUGAUGUGCUGUUGGAUGAUGGUGAAAAUCGUGCAAUUGGAAGCUUGCUUCCAGAUGAUGAGGAUGAACUUUUAGCUGGGAUAAUGGAUGGGUUUGACCCUAGUCAGCUUCCCAAUCACACAAAUGACUUGGAAGAGUAUGAUUUUUUUGAAAGUAUAGGAGGCUUAGAGUUGGAGUUUGAUGGUCAGGAACACUUAAACCUGGGUAUAUCGAGAGUAAGUCUGGCUGAUCCAGAUAGCAAUGGAGCUG
rnacentral:misc_RNA from 1 species